AUUGAACGCUGGCGGCAUGCCUUACACAUGCAAGUCGAACGGUAACGCGGGGCAACCUGGCGACGAGUGGCGAACGGGUGAGUAAUACAUCGGAACGUGCCCAGUAGUGGGGGAUAGCCCGGCGAAAGCCGGAUUAAUACCGCAUACGACCUAUGGGUGAAAGCGGGGGAGUCGCAAGACCUCGCGCUAUUGGAGCGGCCGAUGUCAGAUUAGGUAGUUGGUGGGGUAAAAGCCUACCAAGCCGACGAUCUGUAGCUGGUCUGAGAGGACGACCAGCCACACUGGGACUGAGACACGGCCCAGACUCCUACGGGAGGGCAGCAGUGGGGAAGUUUUGGUACAAUGGGCGCAAGCCUGAUCCAGCCAUGCCGCGUGCGGGAAGAAGGCC
rnacentral:rRNA from 1 species